rnacentral:tRNA from 1 species
CGGACCGGUGUGCCGUACCGGUGGGCCGGGCGUCGGCGGCCCGACCCACCGGUACGGCGGAUGGUGCGCGGUUCAGUUCUGCGCCGCGCCGG